rnacentral:rRNA from 1 species
UGAGGAAUAUUGGUCAAUGGGCGCGAGCCUGAACCAGCCAAGUCGCGUGAGGGAUGACGGCCCUACGGGUUGUAAACCUCUUUUGUCGGGGAGCAAAUUCCGUUACGUGUAACGGAGUCGAGAGUACCCGAAGAAAAGACAUCGGCUAACUCCGUGCCAGCAGCCGCGGUAAUACGGAGGAUGCGAGCGUUAUCCGGAUUUAUUGGGUUUAAAGGGUGCGUAGGCGGACUGUCAAGUCAGCGGUAAAAUACGGGCGGCACCAUCCGCCCGCCGCUGAACUGAACGGUCGUUUGAGUGGGCGAGAAGUAUGCGGAAUGCGUGGUGUAGCGGUGAAAUGCAUAGAUAUCACGCAGAACUCCGAUUGCGAAGGCAGCAUACCGGCGCCCAACUGACGCUGAAGCACGAAAGCGUGGGUAUCGAACAGGAUUAGAUACC